rnacentral:rRNA from 2 species
CUUUAUUGGAGAGUUUGAUCCUGGCUCAGGACGAACGCUGGCGGCGUGCCUAAUACAUGCAAGUCGAGCGGACUUGAGGGAGCUUGCUCCCGAUGGUCAGCGGCGGACGGGUGAGUAACACGUGGGCAACCUGCCUGUAAGACUGGGAUAACUCCGGGAAACCGGGGCUAAUACCGGAUAAUUCAUUCCCUCACAUGGGGGAAUGCUGAAAGACGGCUUUUGCUGUCACUUACAGAUGGGCCCGCGGCGCAUUAGCUAGUUGGUGAGGUAACGGCUCACCAAGGCCACGAUGCGUAGCCGACCUGAGAGGGUGAUCGGCCACACUGGGACUGAGACACGGCCCAGACUCCUACGGGAGGCAGCAGUAGGGAAUCUUCCGCAAUGGACGAAAGUCUGACGGAGCAACGCCGCGUGAGCGAAGAAGGCCUUCGGGUCGUAAAGCUCUGUUGUCAGGGAAGAACAAGUACCGGAGUAACUGCCGGUACCUUGACGGUACCUGACCAGAAAGCCACGGCUAACUACGUGCCAGCAGCCGCGGUAAUACGUAGGUGGCAAGCGUUGUCCGGAAUUAUUGGGCGUAAAGCGCGCGCAGGCGGUCCU